rnacentral:sRNA from 1 species
GUGUGAAUAUCUACAGGAACUCUUUAUUGUCUAUAAAUAGACUUUAUUUUAAACAGAAAACCAGUAAUUAAAAAUUAUUUCUGCUUGUGUUGGUUGUCAUUGGGAAGUAUUUUGUUUAAAUGAGAUAAAAUAUUAAAAGUAUACAGUUUGGUCUCUUUCUUCCCACCCAGGUCCUGCACCCUUCUUAAUUUUCUCCCACGGAAAUAGUAUCUUUAGGAUUGACACAGAAGGAACCAAUUAUGAGCAAUUGGUGGUGGAUGCUGGUGUCUCAGUGAUCAUGGAUUUUCAUUAUAAUGAGAAAAGAAUCUAUUGGGUGGAUUUAGAAAGACAACUUUUGCAAAGAGUUUUUCUGAAUGGGUCAAGGCAAGAGAGAGUAUGUAAUAUAGAGAAAAAUGUUUCUGGAAUGGCAAUAAAUUGGAUAAAUGAAGAAGUUAUUUGGUCAAAUCAACAGGAAGGAAUCAUUACAGUAACAGAUAUGAAAGGAAAUAAUUCCCAUGUUCUUUUAAGUGCUUUAAAAUAUCCUGCAAAUAUAGCAGUUGAUCCAGUAGAAAGGUUUAUAUUUUGGUCUUCAGAGGUGGCUGGAAGCCUUUAUAGAGCAGAUCUCGAUGGUGUGGGAGUGAAGGCUCUGUUGGAGACAUCAGAGAAAAUAACAGCUGUGUCAUUGGAUGUGCUUGAUAAGCGGC